rnacentral:rRNA from 1 species
GACGAACGCUGGCGGCGUGCUUAACACAUGCAAGUCGAACGGAAAGGCCCUGCUUUUGUGGGGUGCUCGAGUGGCGAACGGGUGAGUAACACGUGAGUAACCUGCCCUUGACUUUGGGAUAACUUCAGGAAACUGGGGCUAAUACCGGAUAGGAGCUCCUGCUGCAUGGUGGGGGUUGGAAAGUUUCGGCGGUUGGGGAUGGACUCGCGGCUUAUCAGCUUGUUGGUGGGGUAGUGGCUUACCAAGGCUUUGACGGGUAGCCGGCCUGAGAGGGUGAACGGCCACAUUGGGACUGAGAUACGGCCCAGACUCCUACGGGAGGCAGCAGUGGGGAAUAUUGCACAAUGGGCGGAAGCCUGAUGCAGCUACGCCGCGUGCGGGAUGACGGCCUUCGGGUUGUAAACCGCUUUCGCCUGUGACGAAGCGUGAGUGACGGUAAUGGGUAAAGAAGCACCGGCUAACUACGUG